GACGGGCGCAUUCCCCGACGGGCCCUUCGGGCCCGAAUUAAAAUGGGUUGGUCAAAGGUGUACUCGCGAAAAUCUUAGAUAUCAUUAUUGUUAGGUUUUAUCAAAACCCGUCCAGUAGUGUAUUUAUUAGGGUAUAAAAAUUUAUAUAUAUAAAACACAAUACUAACUUUCAAUUAUAAUAUUGAUAGAAUCUACGCUUUAUCCUUAAACUACGGUAGAAAUUUUUAAAUUGAGUCAGUCUCAAGUCUCAACUACGGAUGCGACAAACUUAAAAAACCCUCCAUCAGAACCGACAAAAAGAAAAAGAGAAAAAAUGCUUCGGAAACUAGAUUCUUUCAAUUCAAUCGAUGUAUUAGUUACAUUUAUAAAUAAUAAACUCCACAAACGAAUCGGUAUUUCUCAAUACACAUUUAUUUCUGUCCAUUUCCUUAAUAUCAAUUUCAUUAUCAAGCCAACGCUGUUGUUGUUUUUUUUUUUUUAUUAUUUUGCACUCAAUUCCUUCCGAGGAAAAAUGUGCCGUGUUAUCGUUUUACAUCGAUGCUUUAAUAAAAACGCAUCAUAAAUAUUGUGAAAUGCAAAAUAGUUUUCCGUAACGGGUGCAAUGUUGCGUAGUUCAAAGAAUAAUAUUAUUUGCCCUGUGUUAUUAUUAUAUUCCAUCACGUGUCAUCGACAAUACUGGAUUCAGAACAAUCAUCGUUUUUCGGUCUCACGCACGAAGUCAACAUUAGCCCCAGUACUCUUGAGCUGAUGGAACAACUCACGGAUGAAGUGUUCGACCGUUCCAGAGGCGAUCGGCGUGUGCGUAGAUAUUUCGAUGCAUACGACACUCCUUUCAUUGGAUCUGGCAGAAGAACUAAUUAUAACUCUAAUUACGAUUGAUAUAUUAAGAAACUAAUGUGUUAAUAAAUUUUAUGAAACUAAAUCUAUAUCGUUCUUAUAAUAUUAUACUUACCUAUAAAUGAAUAUGUUUUUCUGAGCUUUUAUUGGAAAAUUUGCUAAGAAACUUUCUCAAAUAUCACUACUAUCUUAAUUUAUUUUUGUAUCGUCAAAUUGAAGACAAUUCAAUCCAUUCAUUCAUUCGCAGAAUGUACGAAUAUAAUUGAGGAUUUCAAUAUGAAAAAAAUGUUAAAUACAUUCAAUCAAUUUAUGUAUACCUAAAUAGAUUUUUGUUAUAAUAUUUUUAAGGUAUAUCGUCCUGAAGCGUCUACGAUAUUGUUAGGAACAUGUGUGUGGAAAUAAAAAAAAUAUUUUCGAUAGUCUGUAUAGCAAAGAGGAGCACUUUGAAAUGGUCAAAGGCCGUGUGUUUUAUUUUUCAUCUAGAUGGACCAAUUCGUAAAAAUAUGCUGUUAGCCUCAACGUGGAGCAUGUUGAAAAUAUUUUUUAAUCAUCUUCACUUCAGAUAAUUACUUGUAUUAAAAUUAAAGUCUCACAAUAAAUGACUAAACAUUUA